UACGUAGGGGGGCAAGCGUUGUCCGGAAUCAUUGGGCGUAAAGCGCGUGUAGGCGGUUCGGUAAGUCUGCUGUGAAAGUCCAGGGCUCAACCCUGGGAUGCCGGUGGACUACUGUCGGACUAGAGUACGGGAAGAGGCGAGUGGAAUUCCCGGUGUAGCGGUGAAAUGCGCAGAUAUCAGGAGGAACACCGGUGGCGGAAGGCGGGUCUCUGGGCCGAUACUGACGCUGGAGGUGCGAAAGCGUGGGGAGCAAACAGG
rnacentral:rRNA from 1 species